rnacentral:rRNA from 1 species
UACGUAGGGUGCGAGCGUUAAUCGGAAUUACUGGGCGUAAAGCGUGCGCAGGCGGUUCGCUAAGACCGAUGUGAAAUCCCCGGGCUUAACCUGGGAACUGCAUUGGUGACUGGCGGCUAGAGUAUGGCAGAGGGGGGUAGAAUUCCACGUGUAGCAGUGAAAUGCGUAGAGAUGUGGAGGAAUACCGAUGGCGAAGGCAGCCCCCUGGCCAUACUGACGCUCAUGCACGAAAGCGUGGGGAGCAAACAGG